rnacentral:rRNA from 1 species
AAUCAACGCUGGCGGCGUGCCUCAGACAUGCAAGUCGAACGCGAAAGUUUCCUUCGGGAAGCAAGUAGAGUGGCGUCCGGGUGAGUAACACGUAGGUAAUCUACCUUUGGGUGGGGAAUAACCCCGAGAAAUCGGGGCUAAUACCGCAUAAUGCAGCGGCACCACAUGGUGACAGUUGUUAAAGCGGGGGAUCGCAAGACCUCGCGCCUAAAGAGGAGCCUGCGGCGGAUUAGCUAGNGGUAGGGUAACGGCCUACCAAGGCAACGAUCCGUAGCCGGCCUGAGAGGGCGGUCGGCCACACUGACACUGAAAUACGGGUCAGACUCCUACGGGAGGCAGCAGUCGGGAAUUUUGGGCAAUGGGCGAAAGCCUGACCAGCAACGCCGCGUGAAGGAUGAAAU